rnacentral:rRNA from 1 species
GUGGGGAAUAUUGGACAAUGGGCGAAAGCCUGAUCCAGCCAUGCCGCGUGUGUGAAGAAGGUCUUCGGAUUGUAAAGCACUUUAAGUUGGGAGGAAGGGCAGUAAGUUAAUACCUUGCUGUUUUGACGUUACCGACAGAAUAAGCACCGGCUAACUUCGUGCCAGCAGCCGCGGUAAUACGAAGGGUGCAAGCGUUAAUCGGAAUUACUGGGCGUAAAGCGCGCGUAGGUGGUUUUGUAAGUUGGAGGUGAAAUCCCCGGGCUGAACCUGGGAAAUGCAUCCAAAACUGCAUGACUAGAGGACGGUAGAGGGUAGUGGAAUUUCCUGUGUAGCGGUGAAAUGCGUAGAUAUAGGAAGGAACACCAGUGGCGAAGGCGACUACCUGGACUGAUACUGACACUGAGGUGCGAAAGCGUGGGGAGCAAACAGGAUUAGAAACCCUAGUAGUCC